UACGUAGGGGCGUAGCGUUGUCCGGAAUCAUUGGGCGUAAAGAGCGCGUAGGCGGCCAGAUAAGUCCGGUGUGAAAGUCACAGGCUCAACCUGUGAAUGCCGCUGGAAACUGUCUGGCUAGAGUCCGGGAGGGGCGAGUGGAAUUCCUGGUGUAGCGGUGAAAUGCGCAGAUAUCAGGAGGAACACCAAUGGCGAAGGCAGCUCGCUGGAACGGUACUGACGC
rnacentral:rRNA from 1 species